GCCAGAGACACGGCGAGGCGGGCGGGACCCCUGAGCGGCCUGGGAGUUGUAGUUUCAGGAGGGAAGAGCUCGGCUGCACGUGGGCUCAGGUCGCCCCCUCGUGGACCUCUGCACAGCCAAGCGUGGAAAGGCCGGUGGGCCGCUUCCCGCCGCCAGCAAGAGGGGCAGCAGGGUCCGGCUCGCGCUCCAGGGCUGCGGGAGCUGGCCCCUUGCCAGGCUACUGGACUGGAAAUACCUGUCUGCAUUGGCGAGCUCCCAAAUCUUGCCCAGGCGCCUCCCACCGUGUGCAGCUGAGGAAGGCUGUGCUCUGAGCGUGGGGUUGCCAAGUCAGCUCCCAAGGCAGCUCUGGCACCAACGACCCAGAGAAACAGGCCCAGAGGGGAGAAACGACAGAUAUCCUGACACGGGAGAUUGAAAGGGAGGAAUGAAAUACAAGAUCACUUACUGGACCCAUGCAGGGUGCCAGACCCUGGACUAGAUGAUUUAUAACUCUUCUGUAACCUUCACAGAAACCCUGCGAACAGGCCUUGGGAAGAAAGGACCUGAGCUGCUCCAUAGCCCUGCACAAAGAAGAUGGUGUGACCUCAGAGAUGUCUGCUUGGCACCGUUAAGCACAGGUGAUCCUAAUCAGCAAAGUUUCUCAUUGUCUGUAGAUAAGCAGAGAAUUACUUGAUAUCAAAUGAACCCUGAAAGGUGGAACACAUGGACUUUUAGUAGUGACCACAUUUGAUGUGUUAACAUUGCUUGUACCAAUUAAGCACCACAUAACUAUCCCAUAUUCUAGAAUAGAAAGGGUGGCUUUAAUAAUCAAUAAUAUGGAUGUUGUUAAUCAGGCAUAUAUUAAAUUAUAUCUGAGUUAAAAAAGAAAAGAAAAGAUUGUCAUCCAGGGACUCUGUUGACCACAUGCCUGUAAGCAGCAGUCUUAUUACCAGAUCAGUAAAGAAGUGUGGUUUCUCA